AACGAACGCUGGCGGCAGGCCUAACAUAUGCAAGUCGAGCGAAGCCUUCGGGCUUAGCGGCGGACGGGUGAGUAACGCGUGGGAACGUGCCCUUUGGUACGGAAUAGCCCCGGGAAACUGGGAGUAAUACCGUAUGUGGUCGAGAGACGAAAGAUUUAUCGCCAAAGGAUCGGCCCGCGUUGGAUUAGGUAGUUGGUGGGGUAAUGGCCUACCAAGCCGACGAUCCAUAGCUGGUUUGAGAGGAUGAUCAGCCACACUGGGACUGAGACACGGCCCAGACUCCUACGGGAGGCAGCAGAGGGGAAUCUUAGACAAUGGGGGAAACCCUGAUCUAGCCAUGCCGCGUGAUCGAUGAAGGCCUUAGGGUUGUAAAGAUCUUUCAGUGGGGAAGAUAAUGACUGUACCCACAGAAGAAGCCCCGGCUAACUCCGUGCCAGCCGCCGCCGUAAGAC
rnacentral:rRNA from 1 species